rnacentral:lncRNA from 1 species
GAGAGCACUAGGACGCCCAGUAUCGCUCCCUUCGCUCACCGAGCGCUGCUAGGCUGAGUUCCAAGUGAGGAAAGUGAUUUUCUCCUGAAAAUGCGAGAUGUUCCUUUGGGAUGGAGAAGGCUGGUUGUUGGGCUAGCAAGCUCGAGUUUUCUUGGUGUUGUAUUGUCUACAAGAGGAAUAAAGCCUGUGCCCCAAUGAAGAAUUAAAAAUGAUGUUUGACCAGGGCCACUGCUGAAUUCUCCUCGAAAGGCGUCUUGGGAUGAACACUCAUCACUUUGCAGACAUUUCUUGGGCUGCCAAUUAGAGCAUAAUAAAUAAUUAGAGGUUUUAAGCAUAUUAGAUACAGCUCAU